rnacentral:rRNA from 1 species
GAUCAUGGCUCAGGAUGAACGCUAGCUACAGGCUUAACACAUGCAAGUCGAGGGGAAACGACAUCGAAAGCUUGCUUUUGAUGGGCGUCGACCGGCGCACGGGUGAGUAACGCGUAUCCAACCUGCCCACCACUUGGGGAUAACCUUGCGAAAGUAAGACUAAUACCCAAUGAUAUCCCACGAAGGCAUCCGAAUGGGAUUAAAGAUUUAUCGGUGAUGGAUGGGGAUGCGUCUGAUUAGCUUGUUGGCGGGGUAACGGCCCACCAAGGCGACGAUCAGUAGGGGUUCUGAGAGGAAGGUCCCCCACAUUGGAACUGAGACACGGUCCAAACUCCUACGGGAGGCAGCAGUGAGGAAUAUUGGUCAAUGGACGCAAGUCUGAACCAGCCAAGUAGCGUGCAGGAUGACGGCCCUAUGGGUUGUAAACUGCUUUUAUGCGGGGAUAAAGUGUGGGACGUGUCCCAUAUUGUAGGUACCGCAUGAAUAAGGACCGGCUAAUUCCGUG